GGGGGCCCACCAGGCUGCUUGCAGAGCUCCAGGGGUGUGGGGAGAAUGGGGGUGGAAAGGACGGGCUGAGGGCCAAGGAGAGGUGGCUGAGAAAGGGGUAACUCGCCUACUCUCCUGCUCUCCUUCUCUCUUUCCUUGCAAUGUGUGAGAGUGAAAGCAAGGGAUGUGCAGGGCAAAAACUCAGAGAGCUCUGUGCCUUUCCUACUAUUCAUUCCACAGAAGGAAUACAAUGCCAGAGAAAGGAGAGGUGCUUCCCCAACUCCCUGCACCUGGGAAGACAGGGAUGCCUUUAAAAGGCUAGGUUUGUGCUAAGGAUAAAGAGAGACCAUAGCAAUACUCUGAGUCUAGCUUUCUUGAGAAGAGGAAAAAAAUAAAUUAAGAAGGUAAAAUAUGCUCCACAACCUGCAGGAUUGAAGGAGCAAUGUUUGGAGGAAGCGAAAGAAGGGAGAGGACACAGAGCAGCCAGGCAGGGCCAGGAGCUGAGAGGGGCCCAGACCUGAGGCCUCCCAACAACUCUCUUCUUGGAAGGAUCUGGAGUGUUGCUGAAGGAAAAUAAAAGAUAUAUAAAAAGAUAACCUUUUGCUUUUCCCUCUCCAGGAAAUAGCCAAAGGUAUUUACAUAUUUUGGGGGAGAUUUAGAGUAUAAACUCUAAGAUCUUUGGUAUAUAAGUGUCAUCAUCGAUUUAUUUAUUUAUUGCUGAGCUGACUGUAACUGACUCAAUAACAAAUCUAAUCAUGUAUUGCACUGGAAAAGAAAUAUUCUCAUUAUGUAUUUUCUCCAAAUAAUGGCCUACCAUUGCAUUUGAAUACCUGCUGUAAAUAUCAAUAAUAUCGAGUAAUUACUCUGUACUCGAGUAAACUAAUUUACUAGCAUUAAUGUUUCUGUGGCUUUCCACCUCCCCCCACCACCACCUUUACAAGGAUUGCUUAUCACAAAUCAAGCUACUUGGACACAUUGGUUUAAUGAACUCUUUAUUCAAGAUUUGCUACAAGAACUUUCAUGUCCCUUGAAUCCCUGAGAACUGAAUUUGAAAUUAUUUGUGCAUCUUCAGCUUGACAUAUUUGUCCACUGUGGCUUGUCCAGAGGGCAGCAGUGCUGUGAGUGAGAAGUUCCAAUGGGAAGGAAGGUUAUUGGAGAAGAGUAGCUUCAGACCUCCUAAAGCUGGGAAGCACAUUUACAGAAUUGCCCUGCAGCGAAAAAAACUUCUAUUUCCAGCAGUGACCAACAAGGCUAAAUAUUUGUUUCUCCACAGCAUCUCUUUUUUAGAGACAGAAUAUAAAAGACAGAAGGAGAGGUUUCAAACAAAGGUAUUCCAGCUGUUCCCUGGCUUGAUUUUGGCUAUCCCAAACUCUCUCUCUGCAGCCCACCCAGUCCUCACCACCCCUACCUUCGAACAAAAGGAAUGCAUGAAGGGUUUCAGUGACUUUGCCAUAACAAAGGCGCCACCAUUGCGGGGCUCGCCCCGCCCCUGGGUGAAGGCAAACAAAUUCUUGCACUUGUAUUAGGGCUUUUAAGACCAUAAUUGAACCCGGGGGCGUCUAGGAAAACCGAAAACAGUUCUAGACAGACCUGCGGUUUUAUAGCAGUUUUGGCAGUCAACUUCAGCUUGUGCCUGAACAGACGGGGCUGUGGUGGCCCGCCAGCGGGGGAUGCCAGGCCACCUCCCCCAGCGGCACACAGCCCCUCUCUUAAUUAGAUCGGUUUUCCCCUGGUGUCAGGGAGAGCGGUCCCGGCAGAAAGGUCGGUAUUGGGGUGUGCGCUGUUCCGCAUAACCAUUGCCUCCCAUGUCCUCCUGGAGAGCCAGACCGAGAGGGUGCUGGCAGGGCUGGAUCCCAUAGGUGUCCGCAGGAGACAAAGGCGAAUUCCGGAUAAAAGGCUGGGGGUGAAAAAGGCGCUCCGGGAGCGGCUGGCAGGGCAUUUCGGCAGGCUGCACCGAAGCCGGGUGCCCGGAGGGACUUGCAGCCUGGAAGUGGGUGUGUGGGGGCGCUGCCGUGAAGAUGGAUGAGGGAAAAGGCUUUUGAUAUCAGCAGAAGGGAAAAAGCCUGAAGUGACCGAACGCUUUUAGUUGCCCAGCAGGAAUAGGAGAAGGGUACUCAGGUCCCCAAGACUGCGCAAUGUCCCAGUUUUGCCCGCUCCUGCCCUCGUGUGCGGAAUACGCUGGCGGUGUGAAUGUGAAGGUUUCUCCAGGCAGGCGGCUGGGGUGAGGGGUGGGCGCAGCUCUGAGGAUCAGACCAAAUUCAGGGGAAGAAGGGAAGGCAGACCUUCAGGUCCUUGGUUUUGACUUUGCUCUGAUCCUAUGAUUGACUCUUCCGCUUUGCAGGAGGUCCAACAGCCGAGCGUAACCCACUGGGCUCUGGGAAAGACCCGACUGAGGCUAAAGCCGCCCCGGAAGGCCAAGUCCGAGUUCCAUUUCUUGAAGAGGCCGGCGCGGAGCCCCACCGCGGCUAAUGCAAGAGGCCAAAAAAUGUUUGGAGGAAGAAAAACAAAGGCAGGAAGUGGCGGCGGCCUGACGGUGCGUGUGUGUCUGCAGAGAAGGGAGGGAGCCCGGUUCAGUCUCUUCUUGUUUUUCCAAAUUUCAAGGUCCAGGCAGCCCUCUGCAAGGCUGGGCCCCAUCGCUCCCCGCACGGCAUUUGGAGGUGGCCACCCGGAGAGGAGAAGGCCGACGCCCGCGCCAGGCUUGUCAGGCGGAAACAGCUAACAAGGAGAUUUGGUCAGCAAAACAGACCGAGCCUUUCCGAGGCUUCGUCUGAUUUGGCCCGAAAGGUUGGGGAGGGGGGGCUUGCGCAGCGCCUCCGGGACCCUCCUCUCUGGGGACGACCAUCCCUGAGCCUUACGCUUCGUUCCACCGCCUUUGCAAGCGGAAUAUCGGAAUAAAGUGGGUCCAGGCGCC